AGGUUUACAGCUCUGCUGCUACUUUUUAGAGCACAGAAUUUUGCCCUUCAUCUGGCAGACAUCCAGUGUAAUUGUCUACACAGUGGGGGAACAUUGUUGGCCAUGCUUCCUUCUCUUUUACCUAUUCUGGAGACACCAGUGUCCUGGCCUGUUCCAAUACCCCAGCACCAAGCCCCCGUGCCAUUACAUAUGAGCCUAUUCCCAUAAAUCAAGGCUUCCAGAGCCUGUUUUUAAUACCCACUGUUCUCAUUGUUUCAAGGGACUCUGAAGAUGUGAAAUGUGAAAUCCAAAUAAUUGGUUGUGACCAUCCUCACCUAGGAAUGGAGAGAAUCAGCAACAUAUUGUCUAGUUCUGCCACUUUCUCUACCCCCCAUCCCCCCACCCACCAAUUUGUAAUAAAGAUAAGACACACAGACUUAGAUGCAAAAUAUAGUAGCCAAGGGAGAAAGGGGAUAUGAGAGCCUUCUCAGAAGAUGAAAAAGUUUGAGAACAUUGUAUAAUUGAGUGAAUUAAUGAAUUAUUUCUACCAUGGAUUUAUUUAAAGACUUAAAGGAAAUUUUCUUCUGUACCCUAUUUGGAAGGACAGUCCUUUGUAGGUUGGGGGACUUCCCUUACCUCAGGAGGAAAAUAUUGGGAGGUCUCUAUAAAUUUCUCAAGGGUCAGAGUUAGAUUGUCUGUGAGAGGGAAAACUCUGAGGAUUAAAGGGACAAGAGCUGGAUUCUACAAGACCAGGAGGAUGGAGGGGUGGUGGAAGUCAGCCCGUGAACUCUCCCCCAUUGCCCUCAUAGUAUCUCUGGCAGUGAUGACUACAAAGACACCUGGGGGAUAGUUACCAAACCAUAGCUUUGGGACCAUACAGGAGUUCUGGGUGGCCAGGUUUACAAUGGAAGCAGUAAAUAUCUUACGCAAGUGGGCCAGAUACCUCUGGCUGCUCCACACCUGCUUGGACAAUGAGCACCUUCACCACAACUGCAAUGGACUGAGAUGGUCCCCCAGGUUUUCCGGAUUGGAUGAGGAAACUGGAGUCCAAAGAAGAGUUUAAAAAUGCAAAUCAGGGCCGGGCACGGGGGCUCAUACCUGUAAUCCCAGCACUUUGGGAGGCCAAGGUGGGUAGAUCAUGAGGUCAGGAGUUCGAGACCAGCCUGGCCAACCUGGUGAAACACCGUCUCUAUUAAAAAUUAAAAAAUUAGCCAGGUUCAGUGGCAUGUGCCUGUGAUCCCAGCUACUCAGGAGGCUAAGACAGGAGAAUCGCUUGAAUCCGGGAGGCAGAGGUUGCAGUGAGCUGAGUUCACCCUACUGCACUCCAGCCUGGGCAAUAGAGCAAGACUCCUUCUUGGUGGAGGGGGGGAACACAACUUAGUACCAGAGCCAAGACCACAACCAGACCUCCUUUGUUCCUAGCCAGUGGUCUUUACCCAGCAUUUCCAAAGCCUGUGUUCUAUAUGAUGAUAAUAGAUAUUCCAUGUAUAAAAGUUUCCAUCAACAAGCAAGUUUAUAAAACACUGGAUUAAGAUUAAAGAGACAUCUUUUGCAGAGCUCUUCAGAGACUUUUAUGUGCAACAGGAGUCUCCAAGACAGGGAUAUAAUAUGAAACAUUGCACAAAAGUAUUUGAUGUGGGACCCUUUUGCAGGAGCAUAUUAAGCGUCUCUCAGAACUCUUUCAGAAAUGCCACUCUAAACACUGCCCCAGGGUGAUGGAAGUUUCCAUGGGUUUUGAUCUGUGGGGUGUGGUUGUUUUUAUUCUAAAUUAGAAGCAAAUAUAUUAUUUCCACUAGUCCUUUCUGUCAGCAUCCCUGUCCCAGCUGACUUGUGAGCCUGAGGAUAUAAAGAUAAUGAAAACCAGACUCCAGGAAAAGCACACUUGUUUAGAGUCACCCAGCUGCAUCCAUAAGGCAGAUGCAAUAUGCCUCUCUCCCAAGAGUAGAACACAGACAAAACAUACACUAGGAUCCCAAAAUUCUUUCCAUUCUGGGUAAUUUGCUCACAGACAUCACAUUGCAAAAGUAAUAGCCAAAGUCCCCUAUAAAGUCACAUAAGAAGCUGGGAAAUCAGGAUUCUUAUCUCAGCACCUUCAUUUAUUAGCUGU
rnacentral:lncRNA from 1 species